rnacentral:rRNA from 1 species
AAGACCUUGCACUUUUGGAGCGGCCGAUGUCUGAUUAGCUAGUUGGUGGGGUAAUGGCCUACCAAAGCUUCGAUCAGUAGCUGGUCUGAGAGGACGGCCAGCCACACUGGGACUGAGACACGGCCCAGACUCCUACGGGAGGCAGCAGUGGGGAAUUUUGGACAAUGGGCGCAAGCCUGAUCCAGCCAUGCCGCGUGAGUGAAGAAGGCCUUCGGGUUGUAAAGCUCUUUCAGCCGGGAAGAAAAGGCUGCGACUAAUAAUCGCAGUUCAUGACGGUACCGGAAGAAGAAGCACCGGCUAACUACGUGCCAGCAGCCGCGGUAAUACGUAGGGUGCGAGCGCUAAUCGGAAUUACUGGGCGUAAAGGGUGCGCAGGCGGUUUUGUAAGUCAGAUGUGAAAUCCCCGGGCUUAACCUGGGAACU